rnacentral:rRNA from 1 species
GAUGAACGCUGGCGGCGUGCCUAAUACAUGCAAGUCGAGCGAACAGAUGAGGAGCUUGCUCCUAUGACGUUAGCGGCGGACGGGUGAGUAACACGUGGAUAACCUACCUUUAAGACUGGGAUAACUUCGGGAAACCAGAGCUAAUACCGGAUAAAAUAUUUAACCACAUGGUUCAAUAGUGAAAGACGGAUUUGCUUUCACUUAUAGUGAGACCCGCUCCGAUUUGGCUAUUGGUUAGGGAAACGUCUACCAAGGGAAACGAUCCGUACCGGACGUGAGGGGGGAUUGGCCAAAUUGGAACGGGAACACGGCCCAAACCCCUAAGGGAGGCAGCAGGAGGGAAUUUUCGGCAAUGGGGGAAAGCCUGACGGAGAAAACCCGGGGGGGGGAAGAAGGUUUUCGGAUGGUAAAACCGUUUUGUUAGGGAAAAAAAAAGUGGGAAGGGAAAGAUCAACGAGUGACGGUAACUAAUCAGAAAGGCACGGCUAACUACGUG